CCUACGGGGGGCUGCAGUAAGGAAUAUUGGUCAAUGGACGAAAGUCUGAACCAGCCAUCCCGCGUGCAGGAUGACUGCCCUAUGGGUUGUAAACUGCUUUUAGUAGAGAAGAAACGCAGUCAUUUAUGAUUGCCUGACGGUACCUACAGAAUAAGCACCGGCUAACUCCGUGCCAGCAGCCGCGGUAAUACGGAGGGUGCGAGCGUUAUCCGGAAUCACUGGGUUUAAAGGGUGCGUAGGCGGGGAAUUAAGUCAGUGGUGAAAUCUUGUCGCUU
rnacentral:rRNA from 1 species